UUCCCUAAAUCUGAGUCGCACAGCAAUCAAAUCUUCUCGGCUGCGGCCACCAUGUUUGUUGACACUGGCAAGCUAGGUUGUAACGGCUUCUCUGAUUGGCUACUGUAAGAAGGCGGAGCCAGCAAAGGGAGGUGAUGCAAUUAUCGAGCCAUACAU